UAAAUACUCCCUCCGUUCCGAAUUACUUGUCGUAGGUAUGGAUGUAUCUAGAUGUAUUUUAGUUCUAGAUACAUCCAUUUCUGCGACGAGUAAUUUGGAACGGAGGGAGUAUAUU
rfam:Triticum aestivum genome assembly, contig: Triticum_aestivum_CS42_TGACv1_scaffold_375404_5AL